GAUCCUGGCUCAGGAUGAACGCUAGCUACAGGCUUAACACAUGCAAGUCGAGGGGCAGCAUGUUGGUUGCUUGCAACCGAUGAUGGCGACCGGCGCACGGGUGAGUAACGCGUAUCCAACCUACCCUUGUCCAUCGGAUAACCCGUCGAAAGGCGGCCUAACACGAUAUGCGGUUCACAGCAGGCAUCUAACGUGAACGAAAUGUGAAGGAGAAGGAUGGGGAUGUGU
rnacentral:rRNA from 1 species